rnacentral:lncRNA from 1 species
UCAAGAUGAUCUUUCAUUUUGCCUCCCGCAUCUUACACAGUGUCUCUCCAUGGAAGAAUAUAAUCUGAGCCCUGUUCUGAAAAGAAUCCAAGCAAUUCAGUGAGUGAAUUCACGAGUGAGAAUAUUUCUGAAAAUCAACAAACUGUACCUGGAGAAAAAUCACACAUCAAGUGUAUGCUAACAAUGGAAAUCAUGCUGAGCUUGACAGUUCCCCUCUCAGAGAUGUGCACAUCCUAA